rnacentral:rRNA from 1 species
CCUACGGGAGGCUGCAGUAGGGAAUAUUGCUCAAUGGGGGAAACCCUGAAGCAGCAACGCCGCGUGGAGGAUGAAGGUUUUCGGAUUGUAAACUCCUUUUGUUAGAGAAGAUAAUGACGGUAUCUAACGAAUAAGCACCGGCUAACUCCGUGCCAGCAGCCGCGGUAAUACGGAGGGUGCAAGCGUUACUCGGAAUCACUGGGGGUAAAGAGCGCGUAGGCGGGAUAGCAAGUCAGAUGUGAAAUCCUAUGGCUUAACCAUAGAACUGCAUUUGAAACUGUUGUUCUAGAGUAUGGGAGAGGUAGGUGGAAUGCUUGGUGUAGGGGUGAAAUGCGUAGAGAUCAGGAGGAAUACUGAUUGCGAAGGCGACCUGCUAGAACAUAACUGACGCUGAUGCGCGAAAGCGUGGGGAGCAAACAGGAUUAGAUACCCUUGUAGUC